ACUGCCACUAGGGAAGGAUCUCUGGUGGGAGGCCCUUUCCUUAAAGAGUUUUCCCUGUGAGCCUAGAUCUUCAGAGAAGAAGGGAACCAACAUUUCAGCCCAUCACUAAGCAUCAAGUUGCUGGCUGGCUCUGUGCAGCCUGGGUUGCAGCUCCAACACCUCCCAGCAGGAUGGGCCUGCUCAGUCCCAGCCCUGGAGAGUGUCCCAGUAAACACUGACUGAGGUUGUUUUUUCUUGGAGAGAGGGUGCUUGAACCUGUAUUGGUUGCAUAUGAGGAAGGAAGAUUUUGGAUCAGAACCGACAAUCUCGA